rnacentral:lncRNA from 1 species
CGGCCGAGGAGAUGCCGGAAAACGGGAAGUCCGGCCGGGUCACCGAUCGGAACUGUGGCUCCUUCGAUCCAGCUUUCGGGGCAGCGGCGGAGCAAAUCGAUGGCAGAGGGCGACUUGGCGGAGCACGGCGAUCACGGAGAGGGCCGGGUCGUGGCCGGAGGACGUCGGAGGAGGGAGAUGGAUCUGGGUCGGGUCGGUCGGAACCCG